rnacentral:rRNA from 1 species
CAAUAGCGUAUAUUAAAUUGUUGCGGUUAAAAGCUCGUAGUUGGAUUUCUGCCGAGGACGACCGGUCCGCCCUCUGGGUGAGCAUCUGGUUCGGCCUGGGCAUCUUCUUGGAGAACGUUGCUGCACUUGACUGUGUGGAGCGGUAUCCAGGACUUUUACUUUGAGGAAAUUAGAGUGUUUCAAGCAGGCAUACGCCUUGAAUACAUUAGCAUGAAAUAAUAAGAUAGGACCUCGGUUCUAUUUUGUUGGUUUCUAGAGUUGAGGUAAUGAUUAAUAGGGAUAGUUGGGGCGAUUCGUAUUUAACUGUCAGAGGUGGAAUUCUUGGAUUUGUUAAAGACGGAUUACUGCGGAAGCAUUUGCCAAGGAUGUUUUCAUUGAUCAAGAACGAAAGUUAGGGGAUCGAAGACGAUUAGAU